GACGAACGCUGGCGGCGUGCUUAACACAUGCAAGUCAAGGGGCCGUGCAAGGCGAACCGGCGAACGGGUGCGUAACACGUGAGCAAGCUUCCGAUUUGUGGGGGAGUAGCCGGCCCAACGGCCGGGUAAUACCGCAUACGUUCACUGGACGGCAUCGUCUGGUGAGGAAACCUCCGGGGCAAAUCGAGGCGCUCGCGGCCUAUCAGCUAGUUGGCGGGGUAAUGGCCCACCAAGGCUACGACGGGUAGCUGGUCUGAGAGGAUGGCCAGCCACAUUGGGACGUGCGACACGGCCCAGACUCCUACGGGAGGCAGCAGUGGGGAAUAUUGCGCAAUGGACGAAAGUCUGACGCAGCGACGCCGCGUGUGGGAUGAAGCCUUUCGGGGCGUAAACCACUGUUGCCCGGGACGAAACUCCUUUUUCGAGAGGAUUGACGGUACCGGGUGAGGAAGCACCGGCUAACUCUGUGCCAGCAGCCG
rnacentral:rRNA from 1 species